rnacentral:tRNA from 1 species
UAUGUAGUGCCUGACAAAAGGAUAGCUUUGAUAGAGCUAAUAAUGUGUUUUAAUCUCACCUACAUAA